CGGCGGCCGCAUUGGCCCGGCCCGGCCCCGCCGCGGACCGGGGGGGCGGCCCCGGCGCUGGCCCGGCCCCGGGGGGCGGCCGCCGAGCUCCCCGCCCGCGGCCGGCCCUGCUCCCUUUGUCUGUCGGCGGUCGCGGCUCCGCCGCCGCUUCCAACCCGGCGACUCUCGGGUUUGGUGUCCCCCCCCCCCCCCGGUUGCCUUUUCCGCGCGUAGGGUGCGUGUGGGAGUGUUUUUAUUAUUAUUUUUAUUAUGUUGUCGUUGUUUGUUUGCCUUCUAUCCCCCCCCUUCCCCGAGGAGUUUUUUCAGCAUCCGUGGAGCGCGGGGGUUUGGGGCGGGGGAGGUGAUGCGUGUGGUGGAAAACGGGAUCGUUUGUGGCUCGGUUUUUUUUAUUACGCUGCUGCAAAACAAAGCGAGAUGUUUGCAGAUUUCAAAACAAGCUGAAGGCUAUUUUUAAAAAUAGAGCUUCUCAGCUGCAUGGAAGUAAUAACUUGCAGCCUUAGUGAAUAGAAAUACAUGAAAACCACAGCAUUUUCCUCUCCUAACUUUAAAACCCACAUAAUACGUGUUUGUUCACUGCAGAUGAACUAAUCUCGCUAUUGUGUUGCCAGAGAUCAGCUGGCUUGUGCUUUACAUUUUCUGGAGGUCACUGCAAUCAUUGCCUUUUGUCGUUUUGGGAUGGAGGAAUAUGAAAGGAAAAGGGGGGGGAGCAUAAUUGACACUGUGCUAAAAUUGGGCCCAGAACAUCAUCAUAAUGUUGAUGCACAUCUCAGAGGGUCUCUACCACAGUGAGUUUUUCAUCUGCAAACAACAAGGGGAAAGAUGGAUCUUUAUCAUACUGUGUGUACUGGGAUACCCUAGCUCCUCAUGUUCCUAUGGCUCUUGCCUUUGAGAUAUUCAAACCUUUGAGCAAAGACAACUUGGAUGGUUUUAUUCCCUAGAGGGAAUAAAACUAGUAUGAAUUCCUAGGAUGUGCUGGCUCUGCAGGGAGCGUCCAGGUGCUGCCUUACUGCAGGGCUGGAGGGGCUGCAGCUUUAGGCCCCUUAGGACAAUGGUGACCUCCCUUAGCAGGCAGGUGUCAGCUUGAAGAAGAGGGGUAUUAGUCUUUGGACCCAUGGAAAACACUUCCCAGCUGCACCAAAAUAAGUCAUUUUCCUCUGUGGUGUUUCCACAUUCAGCCCAUGUCUUUGACAGAGUCUGUGACAGCCCUCCAGCACUGCCAAGAACGCUCGCUCCUGACCUUGCCAUGCUGGUGAGGACCUUGGAUCAGCCGGGACAGCUCCCACCAUGUCCCAGGUACUGCACCUUCUGUGGUGUUCCCAAAGUGCCAGGAGAUCCCAGUCGUGCCUGUGGUAUUGGACCCAUGGACCCAGGGUUGGCUCCUGCUGGCAGAGAGAAUGGAGAGAAUGUUGGAGCCUUGUUCAUUGCACAGGAAGGGUCUAUCCAUGCUCAGGCUGAUGAACAAUGAGAUGUCACAGCAGGUUUGAUCUCUUGAAAUCAUCUUCUGAUAUUUGUGGGGAGAGCUGUGCUGCUCAGGGGAGGAGGUCUGUAGCUUUGCAGCUGAGAGAAGAUGAUGCAGCAAAUGUCUUCAGUGUGCAGAUCCCUACUUGUUUCCUGGGCAGGCACAGAGUCACACCCGGCAGAAGACUUUGCUAACCAGUGGUACAGACAGACCACUUUCAGAAUUUCACUAAUAGUGGUAGCACAGGUACUUAGGAAAUGUGAAGGCUUUUUUUUUUUUUGUAAGGAUACCUGUUCAGAUGUGAUGGUCUCAACAGACAUUUGUGGUUUCCCAUGUGAGCUGGGCCACAACCUACCCAUGUGGCUAUUUUAGGUGAAUGUUACCACACUCUCCUUUCUUUCCCAAAAUGGCCCUUGAAGAUUGCCAUGUGGAUCUCUCUUGGCCCAAAGGAUAUAAUUUAGGGAGCAAACCAUAAGAAAGGCUCCCCUAGUUCCUCAUCACUAAGAGCAUAUCAUCUUAGAAAGCAAGAGGUGAGCAUCAGUUUAGCAAGGGUUUAGCUAGGAGAGAAGCGAUGAGUCUCACACCAAGCUGGGGUGGUUGGGGAACAUGGUGAACAUGGCACAGUGUUCAGCUGGGACUUGUCCCAGCAGCCAUCAGACAUAUCUCUUGGGAUGUAAGUUAGGGGGUUUUUAGAAAUAAAUGUGCUAUGCAGAGAAAAUACUUUGAGUUCCCUAAGAAACCUGCUGAAAAAGUGCCCUCUAUUCAAGAUGUGAGCCAAAAGGUAAUGGCCAGGUCGCUGCAGACAGGGGCUCUUUGUGAGGAGUCCUCACGAACCUGCUGCCGUCCUUCCCUCCCCGUGCCGGGAGAGGCCAGCGUCCGCCUUUCCUGUGUUCUGCCUCCUCGGUUUUAUACAUUCCUGCAAUGAAAGCUGAGCGAGCAAGAUCCCCUGCUAUUUGCAAGAUGUGGGCGUGCCCUCUGCAAAAUCCACAUCAUUGUCCUUCCAAACCCUUUUCGGAGGUUAGCCAAUAUUUACGCAGUGCUUGAGGGACGUUAGGAACGACGGUUUGAACAUUUAGAGGUUGCCUCGUGUUUGAGGCCACUUCACCUUCCAGCUCACCUGGGAGGUAAAGCAGCUUGGGUCUGAGGUUACCAGCUCUGUUUUUUAAUUUGGUUUCCUCACUGUCAGUGCACCACGGUACUUUGACUGGGGUUCUUUUUUGUCCCACUAUACAUUUACGUUUUAAGCUAGUGGUGAUAGUCCUGAGCACUUUCAGCUCACAACUGCCAGUUCUAGCAGUGUCUGAGUUUCUUUUCUGUGUGGAGAUAGAGAGUAUCCAGCCCAUUUGAGGAGGAAAUACUGUAUGCACAGAGAGAUGUUUUUAAUUUAGUGAAUCUGUGAAUUCUAAGGCCAGAGGGGUAGGUUAUGAUCCUCUAAACCAGCAGUUUGCCUAACAUGAGCCACAAAAUCUUACCCAAGAGCUCCUACCACCAAGCCUAUUAACUUCUUUAGAAAUUCCUGCUCCAGAACACUGAGCAGAGUAAUUACCACUAUGGUUAGAACAAUGCCCCAGAAGAAUGAAACAUUUUUGCUCAAAAUAUCCAAGUCAUAUCUGCUUAUGUCAGAAAAAAUGAUUACUUUAGCUAGUGUAUAUUCCUCCUGGCUGCUCUGUUUUGAAGGAGUGAGGGGAGGGAAAGCAAACUCCUUUAUGGCUUGUGCAUCAUUGCAAAGGGAAUGUAAUUGCAGGAGGUUUAUUGCAUUUGACUAUUCCUGUUUGGAAAGAGUCCAGGUUGACUGUCAGAGCCAGGGCUGAGUCUGAUGGCUUGGCAGAUAGGGGAAGAGAGGUCCUUGCACUGUAAACUGAGCAAGGAGUAACCAAGGAAAUUUAAUAAGAAGUUAUGGAGGUAACAAAAGAGUGCCUUGGCACUGUCAUUCUGAUGGGGCUGGCUGUUGCACAGCUCCAGGUUAACUUAUUCAGAAGAGAAAGCUUAGGUGAGACAUUUGUAUAUAGAGGCAAAUACUCCCCAUGACAUGGUGCCAUAGAGGAGCACUCCUUUGUCUUUUGGCAAGUCUGGAGUGAACUUUUCCUGCAGGAAUUGUCCUCACCAUGCUACCAGAGAAGCAGACCUAUUGUUGGGCUGCCGAGGCUUGAAGAUGAAGUCCACUCACCAUCUGGCCCUUCAUAUAGAUUGGAAGCCUGACUUGUUUGCAAGAUGCUCUCUGUGAAGUGUGGUGUGGGGAGCCUUACCAAUGCUGUGCUGUUAACUUGAAAAGCAGGCUGAGAAUGGCAGGUACCAAACAGCAUUUUGAGCUCACAGUACGUACCCAUGGAGGGUGGCUCUUUUUUUGCUGACUGUGUAGUCAUAUUUGAGCAGCAGUUAAAUACUCCAUUUAUUUAUAUUCCUUGCUUUUCUGUUGGUAUAAUUUCUGUCAAAGUUAUGCUCUAUGCUCACAGGUCCUGUUCAUUGCCACUCUGUGCAUUAAACGAGAGGUUUGCAUUUUGCUUGUUUUGACAUUCCCCUUGCCCUUCAUCAUGAUCCAUGGUAAUAUUAUUUUUGGAGUAGCUUUUCAUAGAUUAUUUCUGCUUUUGGUAGGGGGUGGUGGUGGUGAAGGGGCCAUUACACAGGUUUUAUUUUUGGUUUCAUGUUUCUUAAGUAAACAGGGGUUUUAAUAGUGGUAGUCUAGCAUGAGUCCUGAAGGAGAUCGUUCAUGGCCCGGACUGUUGCCGAGGGGAGGUGAGUGGUCCAAAGGCAAGCCAAAGAGCAGCGGUAAGUGCAUCAGGGGCAUCUUCAGGAGGAUCCCAGCACACACCGACAGGGAACAAAAUCUAGAGAUAAAAAAUAACUCUCCAAAACACUAGAAGAUUCUUGAAAUAUGACUGCGAAAGCGACACACACUCAAGAAGUGAAGGGUGUCUAAAGAAUCCUGACGAUUAAGACCUUAAAAAAACAAUUCGAAGGAAGAGUAUAUGAAUCCAAAUUUUAAUCGCCCCAGUCCGGGCGCAGGCACCGAGCUGACGGAAAACUGAUCCCGGCGAGAAGUGUUUGCGCUCCGGCCGUGCCCCCCACCUUCCCUCUCCCCGUUCUGUAGGUCCCUGCCCCUCGUCUCGCCGCCAGGAGGUCAGGCCGGGGAGCCGGGGCCCGUCUUGUACCCCCGCCCUGCGGCAGCUCUGCCCGCCCCGCCCGGCUGCCUCGCACCGGCGAGCGCGGCGUGCCCGGCCCCUGUCCCGGAGCUGCCCCGGGAUGUCCCGAUGCGCGGGGCAAUGGUGCCCUCUAAUGUCCGCCGGCCCGGAGAGCCGGGCGCUCGCCCCGCUCCCCCUCUCGCCCCGGGGCAGCGCGGCCUCGCCCCGCCACCGCCCCACGGCGGGACCCGUUCCACCGCGAUUCCCCUUUCCCACCGCGUUUGCAGCCCGUUGUGUGCUUCCUGAGUAAUGAAAUACAUCGUAGCUAUCAUCACCGUCUUAAGAGAUUCUUCGAGUUGCUCCGAGUCCGUAUGAUUCUUUGGCAAGAUUUAUUAAUAGAAUAAUACAUUCACUUUAUUCUGUGAAAAAUUAGGGUUAAGGUGUAACUUGGAUGUCACAGAAUCAUAGAAUGGCUUGCAUUGGAAGGGACCUUGAAGAUCAUCUCGUUCCAACCCCCUGCCAUGGACAGGGACACCCCCCACUAGACCAGGUUGCUCAGAGCCCCAUCCAACCUGGUCUUGAACACUUAAAGGGAUCAGGCAUCCACAGCUUCUCUGGGCCACCUGUGCCAGUAUAUCAACACUUUCACAGCAAAGAAUUUCUUCCUAAUAUCUAUUCUAAAUCUUUUGGUUUAAAACUAUUAUCCCUCAUUCUGUCACUCCAUUCCCAGAUAAAAAGUCCCACCCCACCUUUCCUUUAGGUCCCUUUUAGGUGCUGGAAGAUUGCUCUAUGGUUGCCCUGGAGCCUUCUCUUCUUUAGGCUUAACAGCCCCAACUGUCUCAGCUUGUUUUUGUAGGAGAAGUGCUCCAGCCUUCUGAUCGUCUCCAUGGCCCAUUCCAACAGAUCCACAUCCUUCCUGUGAUGAGGGCCCAGAGCUGGAUGCAGCACUCCAGGUGGGGUCUCAGAAAAGCAGAGUAGGGGGAUGGAAUCAUGUCCCUUGACCUGCUGGCCACUCUGCUUUUGAUGCAGCCCAAGAUGUUUCUGGCUUUCUGGGCUGUGACCACACAUUGUCGGGUCAUGUUGAGCUUCUCAUCUACCAACACCCCCAGGACCUUCUCCUCAGGGCUGCUCUCAAUCCAUUCUCCACCCGGUCUGAAUUUGUGCUUGGAAUUGCCCUGACACAUGUGCAGGACCUUCCAGUUGGCCUUGUUGAACUUCAUGAGGUUCACACAGGCCCACCUCUCAAGCCUGUCAAGGUCCCUCUAGAGGACAUCACUUCCCUCCAACGCGUUGAUUACACUGCACAGCUUGGUGUCAUUGCCAAACUCACUGAGGGUGCACUCGAUCCCACUGCCCAUGUCACUGACAAAGCUGUUAAAUAAUAGUGGUCCCAAUACAGCCAUCUGAGGGACACCACUUAUCACUGAUCUUCACCUGGACAUUGAGAUGUUGACCACAAUUCUUUGACUGCAAAGAUCCAGCCAAUUCCUUAUCCACCUGGCGGUCCACCCAUCAAAUCCAUGUCUCUCCUUUUUAGAGACAAGGAUGUCAAGCAGGACAGUGUCAAGUCCUUUGCACAAGUCCAGGUAGAUGAGUCAGUCGCUCCAUAAUCUUUCUGGGCAGUGAGGUGAGAUUGACCAAUGUGUGGUUCCAUGGGUCUUCCUUUUUCUCCUUUCUAAAAGCGGGCAUUUUGUUUCCCCUUUUCCAGUCACUGGGAACAUCAGCGGACUGCCACAACUUCUCAAAUAUGACAGAUAGUGGCUCAGCUCAAUGGCAACUCAAACCCUUGGAGUCCCGGAGGAGCAGAUGCAGCUGUAGAGGACAUGGACCACAAGACACGUCUGGCUUCGUGUGGGGCUGGCAUGGCUCAGGGAACCCCAGGAGUUUUGUAUCCUUUACGCUUUUUCUGUGGCUGGUUCCCUCCCUACGGGAGGGUGGCAAAGUAAUACAAUGUGGGAUCUGGCUGUUCCUUCUCUUUCUCUCUGAGCUGGAUUCCCUCUUCUUAUUUGCCUCUCCCUCAGGCUUGCUCCCUGCGUUCCCCGCGAUGGGGCGUUGAGAUAUCAUGCAAUGACGCAGCAUGAUGAGAUAAUUUUUCCUCCCUCCCCACCCCCUGGCUUCUUGUUUGUAUUCUUUAAUUAAUUUAUCUUCUUGCCUACAGCUUUAAAUUUGCUUUUAGUGUAGUUACUUUCUGAAGUCACAGCACUACAAUUUUAUUUGCUCUUAAUCUUGAAAAGCAAUCACUUUAUAAUAUUCCUGCUAGAAUCAUAGCAAUUAUUUUGCUGCAGGCUUUGAAUGUGGACCAAGCAUCACCCUGUGGUGAACCUGCAAAGGGAGUGGUUCAAUGAGCUCUGUUGGGGAGGUCCAUCACAAUCAUUUGACAGCAGUUUAACUAUAAUAUGGAUGCCCUGCCCACAAUAUGAACAUUUAAGCAAGAUUUUCCUCUGACCUGUCCUGGCAUUCCCAACGAGGUCCUGGGCCUCGCUGCAGUCCUGUGACUUCUGAGGGCACCUCCAGUGGGAUUCGUGGUGGUUGUUGCUUCACUUGCACACAGGUGACUGAAUUUGGUAAAUUAUUUGAUUGAUGAGUCUCAGGAGGAAUAUAAUCCACCAUUCCCCUGGCUGUACUGGGCAAUAAAUACAA